rnacentral:rRNA from 1 species
CGGAUCAGACGUGAUUACCCGCUGAACUUAAGCAUAUCACUAAGCGGAGGAAAAGAAACUAACCAGGAUUCCCCUAGUAACUGCGAGUGAAGAGGGAUUAGCCCAGCACCGAAGCCUGUGGUCAUUUGACUGCUAGGCAAUGUGGUGUUUAGGUUGGUUCUUGGCAUUACUGCUCUACUCCAAGUCCAGCAAUGAGUACGGCUUACUGGAACGGCCCAUAGAGGGUGAAAGGCCCGUGGGGGUAGAGGCUUACAGUUUUGUCCUGAAUUGACCAUGGAGUCGGGUUGUUUGUGAAUGCAGCCCAAAGUGGGUGGUAAACUCCAUCUAAGGCUAAAUACUGGCACGAGUCCGAUAGUAAACAAGUACCGUGAGGGAAAGUUGAAAAGUACUUUGAAGAGAGAGUAAACAGUGCGUGAAACCGCUCAAAGGUAAACGGGUGGAGUUGAACUGCAAUCCUUGAGGAUUCAGCUGAUGAGUAUGAUAUGGGCUUGGACAUAUUGACUGGCGCUCAGGGAUCAGCGAUUUGCUGGGUUUCUGCUCUUCGGAGUGGGAAUGCUUUGUGUACUUAUCAUGUAUACGGCUCUUUGGGUUGUCCGGGUCUGCUCGUCAGUGCACUUUCUCUUGGUGUUCACCACGACCGGCACUGCUGUCUGUCUACUAUGGUUAAACCGGUUAGGCUUAGUCUUAUGACUAGGCUUGAUCGGGAUGGCAGGUAGCUCUUUGAUUCUUGUCGGCUUCGGUUGGCUUGAGUCUUUGAGUGUAAUCAGCUGACUGUAGUGGAUCUGUGCAGUGUGUCGGAGCUGGCGGCUUUGGUAUGUGCAUGCGUGCUAUAGCCUUUUGGCGGAGCUGAGUCUGGUCGGCAGGUUACCUGUUUAUGCAGGUCGGUCGAUGUCUUGGUUUCGUUCAUUGGGUGGUGGCGUGUGUGAUACUAUCUUGGGCCAAUAGUCUGUGGUGUAGUGGUAAACGAUCCACCUGACCCGUCUUGAAACACGGACCAAGGAGUUUAACAUGUACGCGAGUCAUUGGGCGUUACGAAACCCAAAGGCGUAAUGAAGGUAAAGGUUCGGCUUGUCCGAGCUGAGGUGAGAUCCUGCUGUUUCCUUUGCCUUGCACUGUCAAGCUUUAGAGCAGUAGGCGCAUCACCAGCCCGUCUCAUGAUGUAGCCACGUAGCCUUGUGUUAUGUGCACCGUCGGGGCGGAGCUAGAGCGUACACGUUGAGACCCGAAAGAUGGUGAACUAUGCUUGCGGAGGUUGAAGCCAGAGGAAACUCUGGUGGAGGACCGCAGCGAUUCUGACGUGCAAAUCGAUCGUCUAACGUGAGUAUAGGGGCGAAAGACUAAUCGAACCAUCUAGUAGCUGGUUCCCUCCGAAGUUUCCCUCAGGAUAGCUGGCAUUCUGAGAAAUAAACAGUUUUAUCCGGUAAAGCGAAUGAUUAGAGGCAUUGGGGAAAAAAUAUCCUCAACCUAUUCUCAAACUUUAAAUGGGUGAGAUGCCUAACUCCCUUAAUUGGAGUGAGGCCUUGAAUGUGAGUGCCAAGUGGGCCAUUUUUGGUAAGCAGAACUGGCGCUGUGGGAUGAACCAAACGGUCGGUUAAGGUGCCUAACACGACGCUCAUGAGAUACCACAAAAGGUGUUGGUUGGUCUAGACAGCAGGACGGUGGCCAUGGAAGUUGGAACCCGCUAAGGAGUGUGUAACAACUCACCUGCCGAAUCAACCAGCCC